UACGAAGGGGGCUAGCGUUGCUCGGAAUUACUGGGCGUAAAGCGCGCGUAGGCGGGUCGUUAAGUCGGGGGUGAAAUCCUGGAGCUCAACUCCAGAACUGCCUUCGAUACUGGCGAUCUUGAGUCCGGGAGAGGUGAGUGGAACUCCGAGUGUAGAGGUGGAAUUCGUAGAUAUUAGGAAGAACACCAGUGGCGAAGGCGGCUCACUGGUCCGGUACUGACGCUGAGGUGCGAAAGCGUGGGGAGCAAACAGG
rnacentral:rRNA from 1 species